rnacentral:lncRNA from 1 species
AUACUAGGGGGAUGUGACGCAACGUUAUGGAAGUCGCCAUUUUGUACGGAAGCCAACGUCGCUCAUUUCUAUAACGGACAAUCGAAAGAAGAUGGCCGCUUUCAUGAUGUUGGAAAGCCUUCGCUGGGAAGGGGACAUCAUUUUCAGUAGAAAAUGAGAUGCAUUUUAAGAAGUUAAAUUGUCACAGAGGUUGGCAAAGAAGUUUAAUUGAAAGCAUGUUAGGAGCGCCGUUGUUCCGAAAUCUGAGGGGCGGAGUCGACACGUAGAGCGGCUUUGCGCGUGCGCAUCAGCUAGGCGGUUAGAUUUGAAUACUUCGCUGAGUUUGGCUGGGCGUUGUGUGGUGACGUCUUUGCUGAAGAGCGCGCGGACCCCAAACAAGUUAAGCUGGUGGGCUGUGGCAGGUAAGGAGAAUGACCCUCUCUCAUUCUGAGCUCCUGAGAGGAUGUGGGUUUUGUCUGAGCACUUUGGAGGUCCGGCAUGGGAGGUGGAGGAUGCUGGGUCAGUCCCGCGGCCUCCGAAUGCGGCGGGCGCAGGGCUCUUUUCUCACCCCGGCCUGCACUUUGUUCCUCCUUUCCUCCCUAGCGCUUUGGCAACCACACCUGUGCUCUCGGACCGCCUCGGAUCGCUUGCUCGUCUAGCUCGCGGCUUCCUGGCCCGCCCACACCUUUCAUUUUUCUUUUUGGUUGUUUGUAUUUCUGACUUAAGCUUUUCUUUGCUAUAAAUGAAGCGACAACAAUGAGUGAUAUUUAAGCUCUCGGCUCUCAUUGGUUACCUAGCAGCACAGAACCGGUUUUCGGUUUUCUGCAGAUACUGUUAACAAAGUCAAUUUAAGCAUCCCACACUUUUUUUUUUUUUUAAAUCUUCUUCUGACCGGCUCAGGGUCAAAGCUCCUUUUUCUUGCUGUUUAUUUAAAUAUUAGAGUUUGGGAAGAAAAAUGCUGCUGUUUGGAAUUUUAAAGAUGGGUUUAUUAGGCGUUAACAGAGAUAAAGGGUGGUGCGGAUGAAGACCAAAGCACAAGGUAACUCGGGAUAUGAAGACCGAAGUAACUUUUCAAAUCAGUUGAAUUGGAUCAACUGAAUUCCUCAUAUUUAUUGGGUUCCUUGCCUUGUGCUAGGGCUGGGAGUCCCUAAGUCCCAGAAAGGGAAAUAAUUAGUAUAUACAAAAUAACUGUGAUACAAGACAGAAUGUAAGGAAUUAUAAGACAUUCCAAAGAGGUAUGAUAAACAGAAAGGAGAACUGAUUUGAUGCUUUUGACAAUGAAGAAUUAAAGUGGAUUUCAUGGAGAAAAUGGCAUUUGAAGUGGAACUUGGAGGAAUGAUUUACAGAAAUGGAGAGUUAAUAUUGUAAAAUUUUGAAAAUUAAAGGUUAGGUUCAAAGCAAUACAAUUUUUGACCCUUUAAAUGACUGGAAAUGUUCAUAGGGAAACAGAUACAUGUAAAUUGAGUAAAAAUGGAAUGAUAGUCUUUAAUGAUGUGUUGAAUACUAAUAAAAUUGAAGAUACUCUAGAUAUUGAUAGUAGGAUGGUGCUCUCCAGUAGAACUUUCACAGUGGUAAUACUUUAUAUCUGUGCUGUCCAACACAGUAUUCAUUAACUUCUGUGGCUAUUGAACACUUGAAAUGUGGCUGUUGUGAUCAAAGACCUGAAUUUUAUUUUAAUUAAUGUAAAUGUAAAUAACUCCUAUAUUGGACAGCACUGGUCUAUAACACUGGACAAUGGAAAAUAUUUACUCUAGGUAUUGGUGGUGUAAAUUCAGGAGUAGACAGAGAGCCAGAUAGUAAAUAUUUCAGGCUUUGCGGGCUACAAAGUCACUGGCAUGGUCUCUGUUACAUUCUUUGUUUUGUUGUUGUCUUCGUUUUCUAUACCUCAUUAAAAAAUUAGCUUUGUUUUCUAUGUGAAAACUUAAAAUUAAAAAUGUGAAAAACUGCUUUUAGCUCAAGGGCUGAUUUGGUCUAGUGGCAAUGGUUUACAGUCCCCUGGAUUAUUUCUACUACAGGUUAGGAAGCUUUCUUGGUUCAGGUGACAUCCUUAGGCAAACAAACAAACAAACACAAAAACCUGGUAAUUUUAUUUCAGUAGUUAAAUACAAACAGCUUAAUGAGUAUAUAUGUUCUAACAAUUCAUAGCCAUUUGAAAAAAUACGCAUAAAUUGAAGGAAAAGAACAUAUUUACUUUUUUUCUUAAAUAAUCAUGGUUACUAGGGCUGGGGCUGGGGCUGGGGCUGAGCAGUAGAGCGCUUACCUCACAUGUGUGAGGCAUUGGGUUCAAUCCUCAGCACCACAUACAAAUAAAUAAAUGAAAUAAAGGUGUUGUGUCCAUUUACAACUAAACAAAAUAUUAAAAAUUAGAUAUGUGUACCUCUUAGAUACUGUACAAAAUCUCAAACCUUGGAAUCAGAUUGUACAUAGCCACUCAUUUCCUGAGCCACUUUGAUAUAAACAAACAAAAAAAACCUUGAUUUUAUUUAUAUCAAUUGCCAAAAAUCUAGCUUCACAGUAAUACAUUAUUAAAUAUGAAUGGGUACUAUUUUGAGCUAAUGGUUCACAUGGUGCCUGUCAGAUGUUGAAAAUGGGGUGUUUCAAAAACUAAAAAUAAACAAACACCUCUGUGCUAUGCUGCCAGCACCCUGGAUGCCAGGUGCACAGUUUUGAGGCUAAUCAGUAAAAAUUACUACGUAAUUAAUAGUUCAGCUGGACUGUGUUUUAUAAGUGAGACUUAAUAUGAUACUCUGGGGUCUCCUAUUUCCGUUGAGGGUAAAACUUAAACAGUUAAAUAUUAAGAAGAUGGGACGUCAGUAAACUUUGAAUCUCAUCAGAUAAUCAAGUACUUACCAAUCUCCAGGUUCAACAGGAGUUGUGCUCAAUGACUAUUUCAAACAGUCAUUUUGAUGUUUAGGUGACCUUGAGCUGAUAAGUAUUUAGUAUUUUUAUCUGGAGUUUGAAUAUGUAUACUGAGUUUGAAAAUAUUCCCAAAGAAGAUAAAAAUAUGCUGGUUGGUAAUCAUAAAGUCAAUUUUAUUUUUAAUUGUGGUUUUGGGAAUUAAACCUUGCACAUGCCAAGCAAGUGCUCUACUGCUGAGCUAAUUACCCAGCCCCAAAUAAUUGUUUCUUCAUUACUCAUUCAGCAAGUAUUUAUUGAGCUCCUUCUAUUUACAAAGCACUGCUAGCUGUAAUAGUGAACAUAAGAUUCAUCAGCUCUAGUCUCAUAAUUUACUGUUGGAGCAAGGGUAGUUUGUGGAGCUAAUAGAAAUAACAGACAUUUAUUUAUUUAUAUAUUUAUUUAUGUAUGUAUGUAUUUGUGGUACUAGGAGUUGAACUUAGGGCCUCAAGCGUGGAAGGCAGAUACUACCACUGAGCUACAUCCACAGCCCUAAAAAGCGUACUUUUAAUUUAUGAAAGAAACACUCAAGAGGAAGUAUACAUAAUGCUACCAAGAGGAUAAACACAACACCUUUAUUUAUUUUUCUGUGGUGCUGAGGAUUGAACCCAGUGUCUCACAUCUGCUAGGCAAGUGCUCUGCCACUGAGCUAUAACCCUGGCCUUUUCUUGUCUUUCUUACCAAGAGAGAAUAGCAAAUAUAAACACAUAGAUUUAAGGAAGAGUUCUGUGUGUUUAGGGAUUGAAAGAAAGGCUAGGGGAAUAGUAUAGUCAGAGAGGAGACUGGUAAGAGAUGAAAUAUAAAGCCUAAGGCAAGCAGGGACUAGAUCUGGUAGAACUCUAUAGGUCUUAGUAAAGUGUUUAUUCUCAGCACAAUGGAAAGCCACUCUAUAGGUCUUAGUAAAAUGUUUAUUCUCAGCACAAUGGAAAGCCAAUGGAGAUAACUAAAUGCUGUUUAGAAAGAAAAUUGUAGAGGGAUAAGAGUGAAAGCAAGGAUACCAGGGAGGUAGAUAUUAUGAUAUUUUAUGUAAGAGUUCAUAGUAGAUUGAACUAUGGUGUUGAACUGAAAAUAGAAAUGAAUGGAUUGAAAAAAUGUACUGAAAAUAGAACUACUAAGACUGGAUGAAUUAAAUAGAAAUGGCUGUUGCACUUGUUUGAUCUUACAGAAGUUCAACCAUUAAGUUGAUGUUUACUAUUGUUUUUUUAAAUAGAUACUGUUAAUUCAGACUCUGCCUCUAGCUUGGUAAGGGUUUUGUUUUGUUUUUUGAAGAACAAGAAAGGAUGUUAAAGUUCAUACUUUUUUUUUCAUCUGUUAUUAUAUGAUUUUCAUUUUUAAUCUCUUAGUAUGAUAAAAUUUCAAGGUUUAUUUUCUAGAGUUAAACCAGUUUUGUGUUUCUGGAAUAAAGCAAACAUGACUACGAUACAAUAUUCUUUUUCCUAAUAAUUUAUUUAGAAUUUUCUUAUUUAUGAUAGUGAGAUUGGCAUGCAGUCUUUACUUUCUUGUACUGUAUUUAUCUGUUUGUGCAUGAGUGUGUAGAGAAAAGGAGGCAGUUGCAAGAAAGGGUGCUUAAUUUUCAUUUCCCAUGGUUUAAUGCUAAAACUAGACAAAUCAAAAUUUAGCAAUAUAAACAAUUUAUCUAGACCAACACAUAUAAAAAUAUGUACAAAGUGAGAGUGGUUGCUUUUGGGAAGGAGGAGUUUGGAAUGCAGAAAGCUGCUGGUUUAAAAAGCAGCAAUCGGUGUCUGUUUUAGUUAUCUAAUGGACAAGUUUUUAUUUUAACCAGUUAAGUUCAUAUCAUUCUCAUCAAUAUUAGUACAGAUUUUAUCUUGAAUAUAAGAAUUUUCUGGGAGUGUUAAUCAAAAUGCAGUAGUUUGAACUCCUUGAAGUAUCUCAUAUUUUAGAGCUCAUAUAUUUUUCCUUCUAUUUUUGGUCUUCUUAGAAAGUAACCCUAAAAUCUCAACAGUGUUCUUAUUUCCUCAUAGAGUGUAAUUUUUCUUCCUUCUUAUGUACCUUUUCUAAUAUUGUGUAUUUAUUUCAGGGAAAAAAGUUUUCUUAAAAUAUGGAUGGG